rnacentral:lncRNA from 10 species
CUGACAUGUGGGGCUUGGGACUAGUUGCUCACUGCUCCCCAUCCUCCCUGUUCCACCUUGGAGCUUGGCCCUAACACAGGGGUUGGCAGUGGGACGGAACUGGCUGGCUCUGUCAUCUGGACUCCAUAGCAUCAUUUCACUUCCGGCCGCAUCACCCUCCUUGUGGAAUAUGGCCUUGAGGUUGCACGUUGGUAAUCCCUCCUGCUUAAUGACAGUGUGCCAUGGGUAAAGCUCAUUUCUCCUUUCCUGCAGCAAUAACACAACAAUUACUGCAAUGAUGUCACCACUAUCUCUUAUAGCCAUCAUUUCAUAAAGAUGGAGUCUUGCUUUGUCAUCCAGGCUGGAGUGUAAUGAUGGAAUCUCGGCUCACUGCAACCUCUGCCUCCCAGGUUCAAGCGAUUACCAGGCCUCAGCCUCCUGAGUAGCUGGGGUUACAGUUAAGAGAACUGGAGACACAAAAAAGCUAAGUGAAUUAUGCAAAGCCACCCAGCUAGAAGUGACUUUCUUCAGAGGAAGUUCUUGGAAUUCCUGUGCCACCAUAAGAGUUACUCACCUGCUGGAUUUUUAUGAGAAGAUGUGACUUGGUCCUUGCCUUCCGCCAUGAAUGUGACGCCUCCCAGCCCUGUGGAACUAGCACAUUAAAUGUUAACACUGCGACUUGCAAGGACCCCCAGCUGGUGGAUCCCUGAGGACAAGGACAGAAGUUCACCAUGCACGGCCACUCUGCUUCAGGAAGAUGGCCAUGUGCAAGCUAGGAAGAAGACAGAACUCACCAGGGACUGAAGUGGCCAGUACUUUGAUCUUGGACUUCAAGCCUCCAGAUCUGUGAGAAAUAAAUUUUUGUUGUUUAAGCAACCCAGUCUGUGGUGUUUUGUUGCAGCAGCCGAAGUGAACUAAGACAAUACCCUAUGAGCUAAUACCAUUUUAGCAGUGAAGAAACUGAGGCUCAGGGAGCUUAGCAACUUUCUCAAAGUUUCUGUGUGCUAAGCUGUUUCCCUGCCCCUUUCUGUCUGAGGGGAAAUUGAAAUAUAAAGCAACAACCUGUUGCAGAAAUAUUUGAGUAAACAAACUUCAGAAAGAGUGUUAGAACCCAAACUAGCUUUCAAGUAGAAAAAUCAAGGUAUUCCUGGGUGCUGUUAGUGUGAAAAUACAGGAAAUGUCAUUGGACCCAUAGGUGGGAAUUAUGGGCAGGUCUCAUAGAACAGGCACCUAGAAGGUAGUCGGUAAUCAAGAAAACAUUUCUUUCCACGAGGCUGCACGAUCCCCCUCAUCUCUGUGUGUCUCUCAUCCUUUAUCGGCCUGCUUCCCUCUUCACCUGAUUCCUCUGCUUGUUCUUUUGGGGUGCAGCCCUACAAGGAACACCAACCUACAUUCUGCUUGUCUCCACUGAUCUGCUCUGUCUUUGAGUAUUUCCAGUUCUAGAAAUUGGUAGAAAGCCAGCUCAUAUGAGUGAGACCGCAUGUACCACAGGCGGCUGGCCAGCUACUUCUCUGGUUCCUUGUCAAAACUGUUGCAUACAUGUAGCUCAAUCUAUGAUCAUCUCUGCACAAACAAACAAACAAACAAACAAACAAAACCCAGCCCUGCACCCUUUCUGUGAAUGGGAAGCAAUGUACAGAACAUAUUAAGCCAAGAGGUAGGUAAGGCAGAAAAUUGAAAGAUGAUAUCUGUUAUUGAUUUGGUAUGAGUUAAAGGUACAUGGUUCUGUUUUAGAUAUUUUAUAAUAAUAAAAAUGAAAAAAGAGAAAGGAAUUGCCCCACAAUUACGUUUUCAAAAUAUGUUUAUUUUUUCCCCUAAUUUUUCUUGAGGUUAUUUAGAUAUUUCUUGACAAAUCUUCAUGGUAACAUAUGUGAAAGCAGACAUGUUUAUUUUCUUUGAUUUGGUGGAAUGAAUUAUCAAAAUUCUGGUUUUUAACAUUGUUAAAACUUCUGAGUAAAAAAUUUCUAACAAAUGAAGUGUUAAUACCAAAAAAAGAGUGUUAGCUAUGAGUGGUAUGUAAAUAAGUUGUCAAAUAUCAUCAAUAAUAAUUCUGAUCACCAUUUUCUUGGGUUUAUUAUAAUAAGACAAAUGUUGCUCCCAAAGAAACUGCUGAUUCUGGGGCAGGGACAAGAGCUCACCAAGAAAUCCAGCUACCAAAAUAUUUUGCCUGGUCACCCGGCCACAGGGGCUGAUGGCCAAAUCACAGACUUGAAACCUAAUGGCUGUGAGUGCACAUCAACGUGUUCAUCUGUCUGGUAUUAUUAUGUAGUUUUUGGAAAGCCGUGAUCUCUACGUCAGAUUGUUUUUUGCAAAAUAAGAAAUAAUACUGGGGUCUUGCCUCAAAAAAAGCAGUGAAGAUCAGCUCAUAGAAAUGUUUGAAAUCUAGGUAGUACUGCAGAUUUGUGGACGCUAGAGAAUGACUGUAAGAAGUGAUCUUAGGCGGGAAAAGCCCACUGUUAGGUCUUGGCUCAUGCUCCGCGUUGCCAAUUCCCAGCCUUGCAAUUUUGGACAGGUUAUUUAAUCUGUAAGUGUGCUUCCAUUUCAUCACAUAUAAAACAGAAAUAUGAAAACCUGCCUUUGAGCAUUUUCAUGGGGAUUAAAUGAGAUAAGUUCUGUCUGGCACAUACCAAUGCACAAAUAAGCUUAGCAAAUGUUUUUGUUUUUUAACUAGAUGAAGAUAAGUCUCUCCAGUGGUAUAUUUUUCUUUAGGAAAAAAAUAUCAGUACAUGCUUUUAACAUAAACCUGAAUCUAACUUCUAUAUAAUAAUGGACAAGAUAAGACUCCAGAAAUAUUUUAGAAUUUUCUUAGAUGAGCUCUCAAUCUGUGUUAAAACAGGUAAAACCUUUUACUAUAGACUGAGAAGGAAGAGAAAGGAAAAAAAAUGGCCUAUUUAAACAAUGAGGAAUAUAUAUAUAUAUAUUUGUCAGUAUCUUAAAGAGGCUUUUCUUAUACAAACAGGAGUAUUUGCUGGUCAGUGCCCAGAUUUUUUUUUCUUUUGAUGUACAUUAAAAAAAUUAAAAGAAAUAUUCUUAGAAAGACAUCUGUGCCUGGGGUGACUCACAUUUGAUCAAUCCCUGUGAACUGAGCUUUUCAGGGGAUGUGCAAUUAUUUGCUCAGUUAGGCUUAAACUUUUUAUUUAUCUAAUCACCCCUCUGUAAUGCUUUGAUCUGAACUUCCAAGGCCUAUUUUUCAACCACUUUAGCUACAUAUUUUAAGUCUUAUAGUCUAAUCAACCCUAGCCCAUAAAACAUGCAAUGUCCUGUUUAAUGCCUCCUAUUAGGAAAUCAGCUGCCACAUGGAUUUUGUAAUCUCCCACUUUGUGACUGGGUGAGCUGUUUGGAAGUGUCAUUAAUGUCAUUAUUCCAGGAGAGCGAGAGAGAGCCAGCAGCCAAGUGCAUCCCCUGUAUCCCAGCUGGCUUCUCCUUGCUAACGUUUGCCGAGUGACUCAGAGGUGAAUCAUCGGUUUCUGCAGGUGUAAGCUUGGGAGUCCUGGAAGUCUUCCACAUCCCAGUGGGGGCAAAUGUUUACCUCAUUAAUUCAUGGGAUUACUCAGUAGUUCCAGCCAACUUAAUUUGACUGUAUAAUAGUUAAAAAUAUGUGUGUGUAUGUGUGUGUGUGUGUGUGCAUAUUUACUUAUAGCCCAGGAGUGUGCUACAGCUUAGAAAUUUAAAGGUAAAACCUGUCAUUGAAUAAUUAGAAAAUGUUGUGUUUAUUUGAAACAUUUAGAAAAAAAAAUUCUAUGUAUGUCAUUUUACUGUAACAUAUACACUUGGUAAUGAUAUUUCUCACUUUUCUCUCUGUGCUUGGAUAUAUGUGAGGGACUGAGGUCCAUAACAGUUGGUGAAUUAGCCCACUCUAAUUCCUUUCCCAGCCUUGGGGCUUAUUUAGUUGAAUGUUGUCAGAAACCUUAGCCUUCAGAGACUUUUUUCUUUUCAAAGGACACUCAAUUUUUGGUUGUAAAAACAAAAAAGUAAAUAUAAAUAUAUUUCUUCACUUUAUUCAUCUCUGAACAAAUCUUGCUUUUACAUCUUAGUAGUGCCUAAUGAAGAUAACAACCAUCAACUAAAUUAGUAAGAUUUAAGAAUAUAAAAAUAUAGUUACAGCGCCAAUUUGCUGAAAAUUAAUGGUCAUUAAUCAAGACCUAUGAUGCAAUAGCUAAUAAUUGAUUUCCUCCUAUGUUCUAGCACAAUGUAAAAUGCUUUACAAAUACUAAUUUAUUUAAUUAUUAGAACACCCUACAACAUUGGUACUCUUAUUGUCUGCAUUUUACAGAUGAGAAACUCCAGGCAGAGAGAGGUUAGCCAGCUUGCCUAAGGUCACACACAGAUAAUACAUGAUGAAGCCGGCAUUUAAAUCCAGACAGUCUGACCUUAGAACCUGAAUUAUAAAACACUAUGUUAUUAUGGUCUAAUGACAAAUUUUUAAAAAACACAGAAGAAUCUAUGCAUGUAAAUGAAUCCAGUCCAUCUUAAAGUAGCCACCUAUGUAUGCUCUAUACUUAUUUCAAAUUUUGCUGUGGCUUAACACUUCCAGAACUCUCUCUUUUCUUUCAUUUCUAAAAAAAUUCUUGUGGAAACUAUGCCUUGUUGGUCUAAAUAUCACCAGUAAAAGCUUCACUCUUUGAAGUUGAAUUUGAUUUUGGAAAUAGUUGAAAGUGAUUCAAAACUCAGGUUGGUGAAGAGAGGAGGAAUCAAGUUUGGUAAGAUCACUAUAAGUUAAACUGUCUCUAAAUAUAAUUUUCAAGCAGGGAUUCUAGAAUUCCAAAAAUAUUUUGUGUAAUGGUAGCAUCAUUAAAAUAAAUGGAAAGCCUGCAAAGGUCAUUCUGAAGAGCGUUAGAAAGACAGAGAACAGUAGCAUAGAAGUUUCUGCUACAGUGAUUCAUCCUCUAAACAUAUGAAACCAUCCUAUUAGGUCACAAUUCAAUAGAUGCUAUUUGACUACCUGACCUGUUAGAAGCCCCUUUCAAUUCUUCUGUAUCCAAAUUUAUAUAGGGGACAUUAUCGGUCAAGACCCUGGUGAGAGAGUGACACAAAAUGGGUAAUUGAGGAGAGUUAAAUAAAGAAACAGUUUACAGGGUUAUAAGCAGGAUUUGUGGAAACCAAUAACAGAAAGUGCAAAUCCCUGGAUAGGCAGCAUGGAGGCACCAUCAUGCCCCUCAGCCUGAAGGGGCGCAAGGAGAGGAGCAGGGGCAAGAACCAGGGAGGGCUGCUGCUGUGAACAGGGCUGCAUGCAAGGGCCUGCAUUGGGGGAGGCAGCCAGCCCAUGUCAACCAAACGUAGGGGGGAGUCAGCUCAGAGCAAAUACCCCAUCUCACUCUCCUCCUGCCCUCUGAACUCCUGCUACUGCCCCACAGACCAAACCCAACCAGAACACACAGCAAAGAGCCAGCCUGUUGUCACAUGCCACAGAGAUUACCUUUUGGGAGCACACAGUGGGGUCAAGCCUGCCUUCUCUCUGGUUCUCACCUUUCCUAGAGGAGAGGAACUGACGCAUGGUAAAGACAUUUCAUAUACAAAUUUCAGUUACCCAACUGGCCUAGGAAAGGGAGGAGAGGAAGAAUCUGACAUUUAUUGACAGUUUUUACAUUUAGUGAGUACUUACUAUGUACCCAAUGUGCCAGGUGUUUUACUUAUGUUAAAAAUGAAGAUGCAUUAUGUGAAGAGAAUUUCACUUUACUUCUGUGGUUUCCCUCCCCUCACAAUUACAUUCUAAUUAUGAGAAAACAUCAGAUAAACCUUAUCUCUAUUGAGGGGCAUUCAAUAAAAUAUCUGAGCAGUAUUCCUCAAAACUGUUAAGGUCUUCAAAAAUAAAGAAUUCCGAGAAACUAUCACAACCAAUGGGAGCCUCAGGAGACAUGACCAACAAAUAUAAUAUGGUAUCCCUGAUGGGAUCCUGGAAAAGAAAACAGACAUUCGGUAAAAACUAUGGAAAUCUGGGCCGGGCGUGGUGGCUUACACCUGUAAUCCCAGCACUUUGGGGGGCCGAGGCAGGUGGAUCACCUGAGGUUUGGGAGUUCGAGGCCAGCCUGACCAACAUGGAGAAACCCCGUCUCUACUAAAAAUACAAAAUUAGCCUGGCGUGGUGGUGCAUGCCUGUAAUCCCAGCUACUCGGGAGGCUGGAGCAGAAGAAUCACUUGAACCGGGGAGGUGGGGGUUGUGGUGAGCCGAGAUCACACCAUUGCACUCUAGCCUGGGCAACAAGAGCGAACUCCAUCUCAAAAAGAAAAACAAAAAAACAAAACAAAACAAAAACUAUGGAAAUCUGAGUAAAGUGUGGGCUUUAGUUAAUAACAAUGUAUCAGUAUUGGUUGAUUAAUUGUGACAACUGUAUGUACUAAUGUAAGAUGUUAAUAAUGGUGUGGGGUGUAUGGAAACUCUCUUAUCUUUGCAAUAUUUCUGUAAAUCUAG